rnacentral:rRNA from 1 species
AAGAGAUGGCGACCGGCGCACGGGCGAGUAACACGUAUCCAACCUGCCGAUAACUCCGGAAUAGCCUUUCGAAAGAAAGAUUAAUACCGGAUGGCAUACGAAUAUCGCAUGAUAUUUUUAUUAAAGAAUUUCGGUUAUCGAUGGGGAUGCGUUCCAUUAGUUUGUUGGCGGGGUAACGGCCCACCAAGACUACGAUGGAUAGGGGUUCUGAGAGGAAGGUCCCCCACAUUGGAACUGAGACACGGUCCAA